rnacentral:rRNA from 1 species
UACAGGGGGGGCAAGCGUUGUUCGGAAUUACUGGGCGUAAAGCGUGCGUAGGCGGUUCGUUAAGUCUGCUGUGAAGGCCCUGGGCUCAACCUGGGAACUGCAGUGGAUACUGGCGGACUAGAGUGUGAUAGAGGAUGGUGGAAUUCCCGGUGUAGCGGUGAAAUGCGUAGAGAUCGGGAGGAACACCAGUGGCGAAGGCGGCAUCUGGAUCAACACUGACGCUGAGGCACGAAAGCGUGGGGAGCAAACAGG